rfam:Plasmodium knowlesi strain H chromosome 3, complete genome
GGGCGAGUAUUCGCGCAAGCGAGAAAGUUAAAAGAAUUGACGGAAGGGCACCACCAGGCGUGGAGCUUGCGGCUUAAUUUGACUCAACACGGGAAAACUCACUAGUUUAAGACAAGAGUAGGAUUGACAGAUUAAUAGCUCUUUCUUGAUUUCUUGGAUGGUGAUGCAUGGCCGUUUUUAGUUCGUGAAUAUGAUUUGUCUGGUUAAUUCCGAUAACGAACGAGAUCUUAACCUGCUAAUUAGCGGCAAAUACGAUAUAUUCUUAUGUAGAAUUGAAUAUAGUGGAUUUGUUGGAUUUUGAAGAAAAUAUUGGAAUUACGUUAAAUGUGAUUCCUUUCCCUUUUCUACUUAAUUUACAUUUCCAUCUAUUUCUUUUUUGCGUAUGAAUGUAUUUGCUUGAUUGUAAAGCUUCUUAGAGGAACGAUGUGUGUCUAACACAAGGAAGUUUAAGGCAACAACAGGUCUGUGAUGUCCUUAGAUGAACUAGGCUGCACGCGUGCUACACUGAUAUGUAUAACGAGUUACUAAAAUUACGAUUUUAGCUGCUUGCAGUUUAUUUCGUACUUUUCCUCCACUGAAAAGUGUAGGUAAUCUUUAUCAAUACAUAUCGUGAUGGGGAUAGAUUAUUGCAAUUAUUAAUCUUGAACGAGGAAUGCCUAGUAAGCAUGAUUCAUCAGAUUGUGCUGACUACGUCCCUGCCCUUUGUACACACCGCCCGUCGCUCCUACCGAUUGAAAGAUAUGAUGAAUUGUUUGGACAAGAAAAAAUUGGAUUAUAUCCUUUUUUUUCUGGAAAAACCGUAAAUCCUAUCUUUUAAAGGAAGGAGAAGUCGUAACAAGGUUUCCGUAGGUGAACCUGCGGAAG